rnacentral:rRNA from 1 species
UUGAACGCUGGCGGCCUGCCUUACCCAUGCACGUCGAACGGUAACAGGUCUUCGGAUGCUGACGAGUGGCGAACGGGUGAGUAAUACAUCGGAACGUGCCCGAUCGUGGGGGAUAACGCAGCGAAAGCUGUGCUAAUACCGCAUACGAUCUACGGAUGAAAGCGGGGGAUCGCAAGACCUCGCGCGGACGGAGCGGCCGAUGGCAGAUUAGGUAGUUGGUGGGAUAAAAGCUUACCAAGCCGACGAUCUGUAGCUGGUCUGAGAGGACGACCAGCCACACUGGGACUGAGACACGGCCCAGACUCCUACGGGAGGCAGCAGUGGGGAAUUUUGGACAAUGGGCGCAAGCCUGAUCCAGCCAUGCCGCGUGCAGGAUGAAGGCCUUCGGGUUGUAAACUGCUUUUGUACGGAACGAAAAAGCUCUCUCUAAUACAGGGGGUGAAUGACGGUACCGUAAGAAUAAGCACCGGCUAACUACGUG